UACCUAGAGAUAGCUCCUACCUCUGACGUCAACUACUCUGUCUCUAAUUUACAGAAUAUGAUGUGCAGCCUCCGUGUGUGUGUGUGUGUGUGUGUGUGUGUGUGUGUGUGUGUGUGUGUGUUUUCAGGUAAGGGUGUAUGUGGCUUCUAUCCCUGCAGAGUCAAUACUUUAGAAGGACUGGGGAUUCCAGAGAAGCCAAGCCCACCUCUAAGAUCUCUCUCUUUGCAUGACUUCCACCCACCACAUGACCUUCCCCCUGAAAGCAGGAGCAAGAAAGACCUUGGCAAUCAUGUUUCAACUCUCCACCCUCUUCCGACCUUUUCAGAGUCUUGGUGAUCUAGAGGAAAACACAAAGUCUUUGGAGUUAUAUGGGCCUGAUACGAAGUUUGGCUCUGCCAUGUGAUCUCGUGCAACCUCAGCAACUUUUCAGAGCUGAGCGCCCUCGGUUCGUCGCAAAAGGAGGCCAGCAAGACCCAUCUGUCAGGAUACUGUUAAGACUCAGACACAAGGCCAGGAAGAAUGCCUUAUGCCUGCCAUCCUAGCACCAGGGAGGCUGAGACAGAAUGGCCUGGGCUACGCAGUGAAUUUGAGGUCCACCAGGGCUGACCCUGUCUCAACAAACCAGCAAACCAACCAAUCAAGAUUCAGUUAUGGUGCCUGGCACUAUGUGUAUUGUGCAUCCCACGUGUAUUGUGUGUUCCUUCUUAUAGCCCUAAUCCAUU